rnacentral:rRNA from 1 species
AUGGCUCAGGACGACGCUGGCGGCGUGCCUAAUACAUGCAGGUCGAGCGAAUGAUUAGAGAAGCUUGCUUCUCUCUGAUUAGCGGCGGACGGGUGAGUAACACGUGGGUAACCUACCCUAUAGACUGGGAUAACUUCGGGAAACCGGAGCUAAUACCGGAUAAUACUUCGAAACACAUGUUUUGAAGUUGAAAGAUGGUUUCGGCUAUCACUAUAGGAUGGACCCGCGGCGCAUUAGCUAGUUGGUGAGGUAACGGCUCACCAAGGCAACGAUGCGUAGCCGACCUGAGAGGUGAUCGGCCACACUGGGACUGAGACACGGCCCAGACUCCUACGGGAGGCAGCAGUAGGGAAUCUUCCACAAUGGACGAAAGUCUGAUGGAGCAACGCCGCGUGAAGUGAAGAAGGAUUUCGGUUCGUAAAACUCUGUUGCAAGGGAAGAACAAGUAGCGUAGUAACUGGCGCUACCUUGACGGUACCUUGUUAGAAAGCCACGGCUAACUACGUGCCAGCAGCAGC